AGCGAACGCUGGCGGCAGGCCUAACACAUGCAAGUCGAACGAACCCUUCGGGGUUAGUGGCGGACGGGUGAGUAACACGUGGGAACGUGCCUUUAGGUUCGGAAUAACUCAGGGAACCUUGUGCUAAUACCGAAUGUGCCCUUCGGGGGAAAGAUUUAUCGCCUUUAGAGCGGCCCGCGUCUGAUUAGCUAGUUGGUGAGGUAAUGGCUCACCAAGGCUACGAUCAGUAGCUGGUCUGAGAGGAUGACCAGCCACAUUGGGACUGAGACACGGCCCAAACUCCUACGGGAGGCAGCAGUGGGGAAUCUUGCGCAAUGGGCGAAAGCCUGACGCAGCCAUGCCGCGUGGAUGAGGAAGGUCUUAGGAUUGUAAAAUCCUUUCACCGGUGAAGAUAAUGACUGUAGCCGGAGAAGAAGCCCCGGCUAACUUCGUGCCAGCCGCCGCUGUAACAC
rnacentral:rRNA from 1 species